UCCAUCUCCGAUUCUGUAUCGGAGCCUGA
rnacentral:sRNA from 1 species